rnacentral:rRNA from 1 species
GCCCGCGUUAGAUAGGUAGUUGGUGGGGUAAUGGCCUACCAAGCCUACGAUCUAUAGCUGGUUUUAGAGGAUGGUCAGCAACACUGGGACUGAGACACGGCCCAGACUCCUACGGGAGGCAGCAGUGGGGAAUCUUGGACAAUGGGGGCAACCCUGAUCCAGCCAUGCCGCGUGAGUGAUGAAGGCCUUAGGGUCGUAAAGCUCUUUCGCCUGUGAAGAUAAUGACGGUAGCAGGUAAAGAAACCCCGGCUAACUCCGUGCCAGCAGCCGCGGUAAUACGGAGGGGGUUAGCGUUGUUCGGAAUUACUGGGCGUAAAGCGCACGUAGGCGGACUGGAAAGUUGGGGGUGAAAUCCCAGGGCUCAACCCUGGAACUGCCUCCAAAACUAUCAGUCUAGAGUUCGAGAGAGGUGAGUGGAAUUCCGAGUGUAGAGGUGAAAUUCGUAGAUAUUCGGAGGAACACCAGUGGCGAAGGCGGCUCACUGGCUCGAUACUGACGCUGAGGUGCGAAAGUGUGGGGAGCAAACAGGAUUAGAUACCCUGGUAGUCCACACCGUAAACGAUGAAUG